rnacentral:rRNA from 1 species
GAUGAACGCUGGCGGCGUGCCUAAUACAUGCAAGUCGAACGCUGAAGGAGGAGCUUGCUCUUCUGGAUGAGUUGCGAACGGGUGAGUAACGCGUAGGUAACCUGCCUGGUAGCGGGGGAUAACUAUUGGAAACGAUAGCUAAUACCGCAUGACAACAGUUAUUGCAUGAUAACUGUUUAAAAGGGGCAACUGCUCCACUACCAGAUGGACCUGCGUUGUAUUAGCUAGUUGGUGAGGUAACGGCUCACCAAGGCGACGAUACAUAGCCGACCUGAGAGGGGGAUCGGCCACACUGGGACUGAGACACGGCCCAGACUCCUACGGGAGGCAGCAGUAGGGAAUCUUCGGCAAUGGACGGAAGUCUGACCGAGCAACGCCGCGUGAGUGGAGAAGGUUUUCGGAUCGUAAAGCUCUGUUGUAAGAGAAGAACGAGUGUGAGAGUGGAAAGUUCACACUGUGACGGUAUCUUACCAGAAAGGGACGGCUAACUACGUG